GGCCAGCAGCCGCGGUAAUACGUAGGUGGCAAGCGUUGUCCGGAAUUAUUGGGCGUAAAGGGUGCGUAGGUGGCAGUUUAAGUGGGAUGUGAAAUACCUAAGCUCAACUUAGGAGUGGCAUUCCAAACUGGACUGCUAGAGUGCAGGAGAGGAAAGUGGAAUUCCCAGUGUAGCGGUGAAAUGCGUAGAGAUUGGGAGGAACACCAGUGGCGAAGGCGACUUUCUGGACUGUAACUGACACUGAGGCACGAAAGCGUGGGGAGCAAACAGGAUUAGAUACCCUGGUAGUCCACGCUGUAAACUAUGAGUACUAGGUGUAGGGGGCGAAGCCCUCUGUGCCGCAGUUAACACAAUAAGUACUCCGCCUGGGAAGUACGAUCGCAAGAUUAAAACUUAAAGGAAUUGGCGGGGG
rnacentral:rRNA from 1 species